ensembl:misc_RNA Y_RNA Y RNA
GGCUGGUUGCACCAUAGUGGUGUUUACAACUGAUUGAUCACAACCAGCGACCGAAUCCUUUGUGCCUUCUCCACUCCCACUGCUUCACUUGACUGGCUUUUU